rnacentral:rRNA from 1 species
AUUGAACGCUGGCGGCAUGCUUUACACAUGCAAGUCGAGCGGUAACAGGCCUUCGGGUGCUGACGAGUGGCGAACGGGUGAGUAAUGCAUCGGAACGUACCCAGAGGUGGGGGAUAACGCAGCGCAAGCUGUGCUAAUACCGCAUGUGAUCUGAGGAUGAAAGCGGGGGACCGAGCAGCAAUGUUUUGCCUCGCGCCUUUGGAGCGGCCGAUGUCGGAUUAGCUAGUUGGUGGGGUAAAGGCCUACCAAGGCGACGAUCCGUAGCUGGUCUGAGAGGACGACCAGCCACACUGGGACUUAGACACGGCCCAGACUCCUACGGGAGGCAGCAGUGGGGAAUUUUGGACAAAGGGCGCAAGCCUGAUCCAGCAAUGCCGCGUGCGGGAAGAAGGCCUUCGGGUUGUAAACCGCUUUUGGCAGGAACGAAACGGUGUCCGCUAAUACCGGGCGCUAAUGACGGUACCUGCAGAAUAAGCACCGGCUAACUACGUG